rnacentral:rRNA from 1 species
GGGGGGCUUUCGGGGUUACACUCCCAACCCCUGGGGACAUACCACUUGUUGCCUCGGCGGAUCAGCCCGCUCCCGGUAAAACGGGACGGCCCGCCAGAGGACCCCUAAACUCUGUUUCUAUAUGUAACUUCUGAGUAAAACCAUAAAUAAAUCAAAACUUUCAACGACGGAUCUCUUGGUUCUGGCAUCGAUGAAGAACGCAGCAAAAUGCGAUAAGUAAUGUGAAUUGCAGAAUUCAGUGAAUCAUCAAAUCUUUGAACGCACAUUGCGCCCGCCAGUAUUCUGGCGGGCAUGCCUGUUCCAGCGUCAUUUCCACCCUCAAGCCCAGCUUGGUGUUGGGACUCCCUUCAAUUCCCGUCCCUCAAUUGAUUGGCAGUCCCGUCGAGCUGCCAUCGCGUAGGAGCAGCCCCCUCUUACUGGUGGCCGCCGCCGCCACCCCGUUCGCCCCGCCUUCGGAAUGUUGAGCUCGGGAUCAGGGAGGAAUACCCGCUGAAACUUCGCCUAUCAAAGGGCGGCUA